UGAGGAAUAUUGGUCAAUGGGCGCGAGCCUGAACCAGCCAAGUCGCGUGAGGGAAGACGGUCCUAUGGAUUGUAAACCUCUUUUGCCGGGGAGCAAGGUCUGGCACGCGUGCCGGAUCUGAGAGUACCCGGAGAAAAAGCAUCGGCUAACUCCGUGCCAGCAGCCGCGGUAAUACGGAGGAUGCGAGCGUUAUCCGGAUUUAUUGGGUUUAAAGGGUGCGUAGGCGGACUGUCAAGUCAGCGGUAAAAUUGAGAGGCUCAACCUCUUCCCGCCGUUGAAACUGGUGGUCUUGAGUGGAUGAGAAGUACGCGGAAUGCGUGGUGUAGCGGUGAAAUGCAUAGAUAUCACGCAGAACUCCGAUUGCGAAGGCAGCGUACCGGCAUCCGACUGACGCUGAGGCACGAAAGCGUGGGGAUCAAACAGG
rnacentral:rRNA from 1 species